rnacentral:rRNA from 1 species
CCUACGGGGGGCAGCAGUGGGGAAUAUUGGACAAUGGGCGAAAGCCUGAUCCAGCCAUGCCGCGUGUGUGAAGAAGGCCUUCGGGUUGUAAAGCACUUUCAGUGGGGAAGAAAGCCUUGGGGCUAAUACCCUCGAGGAAGGACAUCACCCACAGAAGAAGCACCGGCUAACUCCGUGCCAGCAGCCGCGGUAAUACGGAGGGUGCGAGCGUUAAUCGGAAUUACUGGGCGUAAAGCGCGCGUAGGCGGUCUGAUAAGCCGGUUGUGAAAGCCCCGGGCUCAACCUGGGAACGGCAUCCGGAACUGUCAGGCUAGAGUGCAGGAGAGGAAGGUAGAAUUCCCGGUGUAGCGGUGAAAUGCGUAGAGAUCGGGAGGAAUACCAGUGGCGAAGGCGGCCUUCUGGACUGACACUGACGCUGGGGUGCGAAAGCGUGGGUAGCAAACAGGAUUAGAUACCCAGUAGUC